rnacentral:rRNA from 1 species
UACGUAGGGUGCGAGCGUUAAUCGGAAUUACUGGGCGUAAAGCGUGCGCAGGCGGUUUUGCAAGCCGGAUGUGAAAUCCCCGGGCUCAACCUGGGAAUGGCAUUCGGGACUGCAAGGCUGGAGUGCGGUAGAGGAGACUGGAAUUCCUGGUGUAGCAGUGAAAUGCGUAGAUAUCAGGAGGAAUACCGAUGGCGAAGGCAGGUCUCUGGGCUGACACUGACGCUCAUGCACGAAAGCGUGGGGAGCAAACAGG